UACAACUUUCAGCAACGGAUCUCUUGGCUCUCGCAUCGAUGAAGAACGCAGCGAAAUGCGAUACGUAAUGUGAAUUGCAGAAUUCAGUGAAUCAUCGAAUCUUUGAACGCACCUUGCGCUCCUUGGUAUUCCGAGGAGCAUGCCUGUUUGAGUGUCAUG
rnacentral:rRNA from 1 species